rnacentral:rRNA from 1 species
CGGGUGAGUAAUGUCUGGGAAACUGCCUGAUGAGGGGGAUAACUGCUGGAACGGUAGCUAAUACCGCAUAACGUCGCAAGACCAAAGAGGGGGACCUUCGGGCCUCUUGCCAUCGGAUGUGCCCAGAUGGGAUUAGCUAGUAGGUGGGGUAACGGCUCACCUAGGCGACGAUCCCUAGCUGGUCUGAGAGGAUGGCCAGCCACACUGGAACUGAGACACGGUCCAG